rnacentral:rRNA from 1 species
AUUGAACGCUGGCGGCAGGCCUAACACAUGCAAGUCGAACGAGUGGCGGACGGGUGAGUAAUGUCUGGGAAACUGCCCGAUGGAGGGGGAUAACUACUGGAAACGGUAGCUAAUACCGCAUACCAACGGCUGUGCCCAGAUGGGAUUAGCUAGUAGGUGGGGUAAAGGCUCACCUAGGCGAAGAGCCCUAGCUGGUCUGACAGGAUGACCAGCAACACUGGAACUGAGACACGGUCCAGACUCCGACGGGAGGCAGCAGUGGGGAAUAUUGCACAAUGGGCGCAAGCAUGAUGCAGCCAUGCCGCGUGGAUGAAGAAGGCCUUCGGGUUGUAAAGUACUUUCAGCGGGGAGGCGUUACCCGCAGAAGAAGCACCGGCUAACUCCGUGCCAGCAGCCGCGGUAAUAC